rnacentral:lncRNA from 1 species
CUUGAGCAGGCUAUCACACAUGUUGGCCAGGCGCAGAGCCGCAGUGCCGGCCUCGUCAGCAGACUGGCUGCCCGCCUCGUCAGCAGCUGACUGAUACAGCUUUAUCGCUCUGCUCAAGGCCUGCACGACAGCAGCAAUACCCCUCAGCAAACCUCAACGAAACUUGCUUGAAAGUGCCUAUCAUUGGCAGGUACCUAGGACUCUUGGACUCCCCAACACAAAGCAACGAGCAAUAGAAGAGAUGCCGGAUUGCACUGUAAUCUCGCUCAGUGCAUGCUUAUCUUCUCAAUGGAAACACCUUGGGGUCGCUCGGGGCGAGAGCUCUCUGUGCAUCGCCUUCAAGGAUGGCUCUCCUGGUGCUGCCCUCAGCAGUGCCGAUCUGCUUCAGCUCUUGCAAGCUGUCUCCCAAGCGUGCCUUUAUGACAGAGCUGGUUGGGUCUGUAGCUGCCUG